CGAGUGCGUCCCUGGGGCGGUGCGUCCUUACCGGGUCUGCGGUAAUAACCUGCGGUUCGCGGUGUGCAGGGGAGGGGGAGCGAUCCCUCCGCGGUCGCCAGAGGCCUGGUCGGUGCGGCGUUGCUGUUGCGAGCAGGGCCGCAAGGCCUGCGUGAAGCCGCGCCUGCCUCUGUGGAGCUUUAGUCUGGUCUGUUCGCUUGGAAUAACCAGCGAGGCCUAAAAUGAGGAUUUUCAUGCCCGGUUGUGAGCUGUGAACCUGUGAGCUAACCUCUCUUUGCCUUGCUUUGCUCGGUCCAACUGCUUAACGAAAUAACAACAACUUGGGACCCCAGAAUAAAAAUUGUCACGGUGCUUAAGGGAGGAUCUGUUUUUGCCCAGGUUAGCGAACCAUAAUUAAAGCUUUGGGAAAAAAAAUCUAAAAUGAGAAUCUCCCCGUGACCUUGGUGGUUUGAUUGAUUUGCAGGAUCCUGUUCUGAGGGCCGGCAGCUCGAAGAGGAGCAGCUCAGCCCGUUUUGUUGGUUUCGGUGAUGCUAUUUUGAGGAAGCACGUAAGUACAGAAGGGGUCUGGGAGGGUUUUCAAACAAGAUGGGAAAGAGUAAGGAAGAUUUGAGGGUGUGGAAAAACUAGGUACCACGGGUACUGAAGUUGUUAAGGGUGUUUGAGGUUAAGCGUCUGAAAGGGGCUAAUGCGCACGGAACAGUAAAAUACCGUGACCGAACGCAGGGUUCCUCCCCGGCCUGGGCCUGUGCGCGCGCCCUUGCUCUUGCAGAUGCCCUGGAGCCACAGGGAAACGGGCAAGCGGGCCCACGAGCGGGCUUUGGGCACGGCAGCGUGCAGCGAGCUCUGCGUGCUCGGCAGCUCGACCCGUCGUUGAUUUAGUGCUUCCUGAGGGGCCAUGCUGGGCUGUCAACACCCCCGCCCCCCUCUCCACUGUCGCUUCCUGAUGAAGGAUGCUUUGAGCUUAUCUUAGUAAGUGCAGUCGUUUACGUAGCUUCUGGCUCGUUUCUUUCCUUGGAACUCCUUGCUCUUUGUUGUUCUGGUCCCUCCAAACAAUUACUGCUUCUAGUAUUAUUAAUGCUGGGCCGUAAACCUUCCAGAGCUUCCUUCUUUGAAGUCCAGGAGUUCAAGGAGUUCCAGUAUUGUUUGUACUUUAAGAGUAAAGGUCCUUCACAACUGAUGUCUUAAGCAUGCAACUGUCUUAUCUGGGAUUUUUGUUUUCGCAAGUUACUGUUUCUUUCAGGAGCCAGCUACAACAGUAACUUUGCUAUAGUAGAGAAAUGGGGUUACGAGUGUAUGAGCAACAGCGCCAGAGUACACAGCAAAACCCAUCAGCUCCGUCUCUCUGGAGUUUGGAGUUUUUGGAGGCCUUAGUUUUAUCCUGCCUUGGCUGGACAGUGCUUUCUGAGAAUGUCCGUCAGAGGCGGAGUUUCCCUGCAGAGGACCAUCUAGCAAAGGCUGGAGGUGGCUGGGUGCCUGAGCGAGCCUGCUUGUGCGUGAGAGCCGCUCUGACAUCUUUGCGAUGAAAUGGAGCCAGAGAGGGUGACUGAAGCAGCACGGAGGGUCGGUCACGACUGUGGGAACAAUCACGGGCCUUGGACUAGGGAGCAGUUCUAGCAGGAGGGCCGUGCGGUUGCCCAGCCUCUCGGUAACUGCUCUGGCCUCUUUGCAGGUGCCGAAGCCCAGCUGGGCAGUCGAAGGAGCCUCGUUGCAGCUGGGAGCUCUGUGGAGAUGCGUGGCCGGCCGUGGAGGAUGAGCUCUGACUUGCAGCAUGGACGCAGCUAAGUCCUGGGCCGCAUCGUAUGCGAGCAGUGCUGGGAGGUGCAAGGCGGUUGUCCCCUAGGUGUGGUCACUGGCGCCGCUGGCCUUGGCCGUUUGCCCACGGAGCUGAGAGGACCAAACAUACUAAUUGCCUGACCUGGAGAUGAAUUAGUGCUUGCAGGGUUUCAGGUAGGUUCAGUGCAAGUGCAGCUUAGUGCAGUCCCGUGGAGUGACGCUUGCACAUGCUCACAUUUGAAUGGUGGCUAAAACCAAGCCUCUAAACAGCAACUGUAAUGCAGUUCUGGUGUGUCUUCCUGUUCUGCUGUACUUCUGAAGGAAGGGAAAACUUAAGCUGUGGGCAGAACUCCUUGGCUUCUCUUGACUUUUCAUGCUCGUGGGUGCUUUGGUGCUUGUUGCUUGAAGUUGAGGGUUUGGAAUUUUUCACUUAAGGUUUAUUGUUUAGUUUGUUGUUGAGGGUCUCUCACUCCGGAGUUACAGUUUAUUCCUUUCUUUUGUGGGGCUCAGUCUUUAUCAGUCAGCGUUUACAGUUUGCUCAUGUAGUGAUCAGGGUGCAGGAUUUAAAAUCCAACCUCAUCCAUAAAUUUUAAAGCCUCGGCAACCGCUGGGGUUCCAAGACUUGCAGUUUGUCACUUAGCGUUCAGGGCUUAUGACUUGCUGAGAAAUGAGAAGGGCUAAAUCCUUAGAUAAUAAGCUGUAAGCCCUGAAGCCUAAGCAGCAGGCUGCAAACCCUCCUUUGGGCUUUGUAACCUUCCCCUAUACCCAGCAUUCAGCUUUGCGUGCUGACCUGAGCUCUGGAUUUGAUAUGGCGCAGGCCGAUCACACUGAGACUGGCAAUGUGACAGGCGAGCUGAGAGCUGUGGAAGUGUCUUGCAGGGCUCUAGUCUGGGGUAGGGCAGAAGUGCAGACAGGCGAGAUCAGGCAUUUUCCUCUCAUCUCUGAGAUGAAUCCUAGCCCUGAAGGAAAAAGCAGAGGAGUAGGCUGUCGGCUACUCGGACAGCUGCCACGUCAAGGGCAGCAGCAGGAGCUGACCCUUUCCGACGGACGGAUGGACACUGGUGUGGUGAUGACUCUUCAGGCAUCACAGGUAAGGGGAAGCAUGCUGACACUGAGCUCCAUGGCAGACUCUCUUCCAGGUGUUGUUUCUGUGCAGUAAAACAAUAAAUAGUUGCCUUAUUCUUUGCA